rnacentral:tRNA from 5 species
GGUCCCGUAGUUCAAUGGAUAGAACUGUGGACUUCUAAGCCACUAAUGUUGGUUCGAUUCCAACCGGGACCACCA